GACGUAGGGCGCGAGCGUUGUCCGGAUUUAUUGGGCGUAAAGAGCUCGUAGGCGGCUUGUCGCGUCGGCUGUGAAAUCCCGUGGCUCAACUGUGGGCGGGCAGCUGAUACGGGCAGGCUGGAGUUCGGUAGGGGAGACUGGAAUUCCUGGUGUAGCGGUGGAAUGCGCAGAUAUCAGGAAGAACACCCGUGGCUAAGGCGGCUCUCUAGUACGGUACUGACGCUGAGACGCGAAAGCGUGGGGAGCGAACAGG
rnacentral:rRNA from 1 species